UUCUAAUCUGUAUUGGAUUGUUUCCUUGUUUCCUGUGAGUUACUCUCAUCCCCUUUUCAGGAGUUGAGCUUCUGAAGAGGCUAAUUUAUCAUAUACUUUUUAUAUUAGAUGCUUCCCAAACUCCUUCCAGCUGCAAAUAAAAACUCCAGCUCAAACUAGCUUCAACAAGAAGGACAUUUCUUAUCUCAUGUAGUUAGAGGACCAGCCAUAGGGCGGGCUCUAGGCUUGGCAUGUUGGGGUCUCAGCUCCACCUCUCUCUGUGAUGCUCCGCCUUCUUUUAUGAGUUGAUUUCAUCUUCAGGCCAAUAGGAGAAUGGCUGUGACCAUUCCUGAGCCCCUUCAGUUAUGACAAUAUCUGGAGAGAAUAAAUGCCUACGGGAAUGUGGAAACUUAUUCUUCAGAAUAAGUCUUCUUCAGAAGACCACCUCACACCGGAAUUAGCCAGAAUUGAGUUACAUGGCAUUUCUUCAACUCUGCGAGGAGAUGGGAUUGCCAUGAUGGGCUGCAAAUUGCCCCAGAACUGAGGACAAUAUCAGUUUCCUCAAGGUCAUGUAUGGUGAUGAUGAAGGAGGUGAGAUAUUUGAACAUAAAAGAAGGAAGAAUGGAGGAUGAGCAUCGGAUAGACGAUCAGUGGUGGACUGGGGCUGCCUUGUGCAGGAAAAGAGCAGAACAUCAAGAGAGAAGGGUGAUUUAUCCUGUGACCAGAGUGCACAGAAUCGACUGGAGAAACUAAUCAAAUCAGACUUGAUAAAGCCGAUGCUGCCUUAUAUCCCCUGUGCCUAGAAGCCUUGUCAAGCUGGUCUGCCAUGGAUCCUGAUUUAAAAUACAAGCUGACUCCUUCACCCCUUCUGAGUAGCAAUCCAGCUGCAUGGAUUUCAGCAAUUGGGUUUUUUUUUUAAUCAUUAUUAUUAACUAUAAC
rnacentral:lncRNA from 1 species